AGAGUUUGAUCCUGGCUCAGGACGAACGCUGGCGGCGCGCCUAACACAUGCAAGUCGAACGGAGCUUAGAGAGCUUGCUUUUUAAGCUUAGUGGCGAACGGGUGAGUAACGCGUGAGUAACCUGCCCUGGAGUGGGGGACAACAGUUGGAAACGACUGCUAAUACCGCAUAAGCCCACGGUACCGCAUGGUACUGAGGGAAAAGGAUUUAUUCGCUUUAGGAUGGACUCGCGUCCAAUUAGCUAGUUGGUGAGGUAACGGCCCACCAAGGCGACGAUUGGUAGCCGGACUGAGAGGUUGAACGGCCACAUUGGGACUGAGACACGGCCCAGACUCCUACGGGAGGCAGCAGUGGGGGAUAUUGCACAAUGGGGGAAACCCUGAUGCAGCGACGCCGCGUGGAGGAAGAAGGUCUUCGGAUUGUAAACUCCUGUUGUUGAGGAAGAUAAUGACGGUACUCAACAAGGAAGUGACGGCUAACUACGUGCCAGCAGCCGCGGUAAAACGUAGGUCACAAGCGUUGUCCGGAAUUACUGGGUGUAAAGGGAGCGCAGGCGGGAAGACAAGUUGGAAGUGAAAUCUAUGGGCUCAACCCAUAAACUGCUUUCAAAACUGUUUUUCUUGAGUAGUGCAGAGGUAGGCGGAAUUCCCGGUGUAGCGGUGGAAUGCGUAGAUAUCGGGAGGAACACCAGUGGCGAAGGCGGCCUACUGGGCACCAACUGACGCUGAGGCUCGAAAGUGUGGGUAGCAAACAGGAUUAGAUACCCUGGUAGUCCACACCGUAAACGAUGAUUACUAGGUGUUGGAGGAUUGACCCCUUCAGUGCCGCAGUUAACACAAUAAGUAAUCCACCUGGGGAGUACGACCGCAAGGUUGAAACUCAAAGGAAUUGACGGGGGCC
rnacentral:rRNA from 1 species